rnacentral:rRNA from 1 species
AUUGAACGCUGGCGGCAGGCCUAACACAUGCAAGUCGAACGAGUGGCGGACGGGUGAGUAAUGUCUGGGAAACUGCCCGAUGGAGGGGGAUAACUACUGGAAACGGUAGCUAAUACCGCAUACCAUCGGAUGUGCCCAGAUGGGAUUAGCUAGUAGUUGGGGUAACGGCGCACCUAGGCGACGAUCCCUAGCUGGUCUGAGGUGAUGACCAGCCGCACUGGAACGGAGACGCGGUCCAGACUCCUACGGGAGGCAGCAGUGCGGAAGAUUGCACAAGGGGCGCAAGCCGGAUGCAGCCAUGCCGCGUGUAUGAAGAAGGCCUUCGGGUUGUAAAGUACUUUCAGCGAGGAGGCGUUACUCGCAGAAGAAGCACCGGCUAACUCCGUGCCAGCAGCCGCGGUAAUUG